GUGCUUGCUUUGGCAGCACAUAUACUAAAACUGAAGUGAUGCAGAGAAGAUUAGCAUGGCCCCUGCUCAAGGAUGACAUGAAAAUUUGUAAAGCGUUCCACAUUUUG
rnacentral:snRNA from 1 species